CUACUACUCCCUUCGUCCGAGGAUACUUGUCGAAGAAAUGAAUAAAAAUGGAUGUAUCUAGAACUAAAACACGUCUGGAUACAUCAAUUUCACCGACAAGUAUUUCUGGACGGAGAGAGUAAAGA
rfam:Triticum aestivum genome assembly, contig: Triticum_aestivum_CS42_TGACv1_scaffold_249158_3DL